UUAGCAGAGAAUGUGUAUCGGCGUGGCGCGACGAAGGUGCGCCAAUCGCCGAAAGGUGAUCUCUGCGAAAUCGAGAAGGGGAAGGUGGGCAGUUGGAGCUCAACUUUCCAUUGAGCUCUUCAACAAUCAUCUUCCCCACAUUC